UACGUAGGGGGCUAGCGUUGUCCGGAUUUAUUGGGCGUAAAGAGCGUGUAGGCGGCCAGGUAGGUCUGCUGUGAAAACUCGAGGCUCAACCUCGAGACGUCGGCGGAAACCAUCUGGCUAGAGUCCGGAAGAGGAGAGUGGAAUUCCUGGUGUAGCGGUGAAAUGCGCAGAUAUCAGGAAGAACACCGGUGGCGAAAGCGCUCUGCUAGGCCGCAACUGACACUGAGGGACGAAAGCUAGGGGAGCGAAUGGG
rnacentral:rRNA from 1 species